AGAUCUUCAGUGUGAAGAAAAACUGAAUUUCAGGAUCUGGUUUAGCACACCCCAAAGAUGGGAGAUGCUUGGUUCAGGGCCCACAGCUCAGCCAGAUGGCCUUUUCAACAGAUGGUUGCAAAACAUGAUUUGGAAUUGGUCAAAACCAGCCAAAAGUCUGUGGAAGUGAUGUGGUAUCAAGGAGAAAAAGGAGCAAGCAAGACAGGAAAGGUGCAGAAUGAAAUGGAGAUAACAAGAUGGAGUGUACAAACGUACAAAAAAGAUGUGAAGACUGAAACAAAGGGAACAGGAAAUGUCACACAGCAGCUCCCCCUGCCAGAUCUACCAGAGAAGGGACAUCUUCCGUGGGAUCAGAGGGGGCACAGGCGUGUCAGAAGAAGGCAGGCUGCGCUUUGGGAAUGCGACACUCCAGCCGUUCUGGGAUUCUGCAGUGG